CGGGGUAUAGCGCAGUUUGGUAGCGUGCUUGGUUCGGGACCAAGAGGCCGCGGGUUCGAGUCCCGCUACUCCGACCA
rnacentral:tRNA from 3 species